AUUGAACGCUGGCGGCAUGCCUUACACAUGCAAGUCGAACGGUAGAGUAGCAAUACUUGAGAGUGGCGAACGGGUGAGUAAUAUAUCGGAAUGUACCUCGUAGUGGGGGAUAACGUAGCGAAAGUUACGCUAAUACCGCAUACGUCCCGAGGGGGAAAGCAGGGGAGCCGCAAGGUCCUUUCGCUAUGAGAGCAGCCGAUAUCGGAUUAGCAAGUUGGUGAGGUAAAGGCUCAACAAGGCGACGAUCCGUGGCUGGUCUGAGAGGACGAACAGUCACACUGGAACUGAGACACGGUCCAGACUCCUACGGGAGGCAGCAGUGGGGAAUUUUGGACAAUGGGGGCAACCCUGAUCCAGCCAUGCCGCGUGCAGGAUGAAGGCCUUCGGGUUGUAAACUGCUUUUGUUAGGAACGAAAAGGUGCUCACUAAUAAUGAGUGCUGCUGACGGUACCUAAAGAAUAAGCACCGGCUAACUACGUGCCAGCAGCCGCCG
rnacentral:rRNA from 1 species